UCCUGGCUCAGGAUGAACGCUGGCGGCGUGCUUAACACAUGCAAGUCGAACGGACUGGAGGAGCCUUGCGUCCAAAGGUUAGUGGCGGACGGGUGAGUAACGCGUGGGUAACCUGCCUCAUACAGGGGGAUAACAGUGAGAAAUCACUGCUAAUACCGCAUAUGCGCACAGUACCGCAUGGUACAGUGUGGAAAACUCCGGUGGUAUGAGAUGGACCCGCGUUGGAUUAGCUAGUUGGUGAGGUAGAGGCUCACCAAGGCGACGAUCAGUANCCGGCCUGAGAGGGUUGAAACGGGCCACAUUGGGACUGAGACACGGCCCAAACUCCUACGGGAGGCAGCAGUGGGGAAUAUUGCACAAUGGGGGAAACCCUGAUGCAGCAACGCCGCGUGAGUGAAGAAGUAUUUCGGUAUGUAAAGCUCUAUCAGCAGGGAAGAAAAUGACGGUACCUGACUAAGAAGCCCCGGCUAACUACGUG
rnacentral:rRNA from 1 species